rnacentral:misc_RNA from 1 species
UCAGGACGAACGAUACAGAGCUCGCGCGCGAGGCUGUCAGCCUUAUCGAUGGCGAUUUCGGUAUCUUCGAGGAUCAUACCGCCCUGAUUUUUGAAAUCCGCGCCGAUGACGAGAUCAAAAUUGAAGUAUGGCAUUGGAGUCCCCUGCCAAGUUUCCAACUGGCGAACUUUAACCCGAGUCGCCCAGUUCCCUCACUGCAACUCUAACAUUCUGCUCUGAUUGCGGUCGCGUGUUGCGUUUUGGCACUGCGACGCACUAUCGCGUGCAGAGCAUUGGCCUCGCGAGAAGGCUGGUGCGACCAGCACGUUCAAGCAAUCACGCU